rnacentral:rRNA from 1 species
UACGGAGGGUGCAAGCGUUGCUCGGAAUUAUUGGGCGUAAAGGGUAGGUAGGUGGUCUCAUUUGUCUGGGGUGAAAGCCUUGAGCUUAACUCAAGAAGUGCCCCAGAAACGGUGAGACUGGAGUCCUGGAGAGGGUCGUGGAAUUCCCGGUGUAGCGGUGGAAAUGCGUAGAGAUCGGGAGGAACACCAGAGGCGAAAGCGGCGACCUGGACAGGUACUGACACUCAACUACGAAAGCGUGGGGAGCAAACAGG